UCCCUGGUGGCUCAGAUGGUAAAGCGUCUGCCUACAAUGCAGGAGACCUGGGUUCAAUCCCUGGGUAGGGAA
rnacentral:tRNA from 1 species